UACGUAGGGGGCUAGCGUUGUCCGGAAUUAUUGGGCGUAAAGCGCGCGUAGGCGGUCCGGUAAGUCCGUUGUGAAAGUCAAAGGCUCAACCUUUGAAUGCCGAUGGAUACUGCCGGGCUAGAGUCCGGAAGAGGCGAGUGGAAUUCCUGGUGUAGCGGUGGAAUGCGCAGAUAUCAGGAGGAACACCGAUAGCGAAGGCAGCUCGCUGGGACGGUACUGACGCUAAGGCGCGAAAGCGUGGGGAGCGAACAGG
rnacentral:rRNA from 1 species